GGUAGCUCAGGGGUAGAGCGAUUGGCUGUUAACCAUUUUGUCGUGGGUUCGAAUCCCACC
rnacentral:tRNA from 1 species